UCCGGUUUGUCACCGGCAGUCUCACUAGAGUGCCCUUGCGUAGCAACUAAUGAUAAGGGUUGCGCUCGUUGCGGGACUUAACCCAACAUCUCACGACACGAGCUGACGACAGCCAUGCAGCACCUGUGUCUAGGCUCUCUUUCGAGCACUCCCAUAUCUCUACGGGAUUCCUAGCAUGUCAAACGUAGGUAAGGUUUUUCGCGUUGCAUCGAAUUAAUCCACAUCAUCCACCGCUUGUGCGGGUCCCCGUCAAUUCCUUUGAGUUUUAACCUUGCGGCCGUACUCCCCAGGCGGUCUACUUCACGCGUUAGCUGCGUUACCAAGUCAAUUAAGACCCGACAACUAGUAGACAUCGUUUAGGGCGUGGACUAC
rnacentral:misc_RNA from 1 species